CAGUCGUACAGGUAACCAUUCGGGUACACGAGCGGCGAACGGGUGAGUAACAUGUAGAGCAACCUGCCCCUGACUCUGGGAUAAGCGGUGGAAACGCCGUCUAAUACCGGAUACGACCCACCACCUCAUGGUGGAGGGUGGAAAGUUUUAUCGGUCAGGGAUGGGCUCGCGGCCUAUCAGCUUGUUGGUGGGGUAACGGCCUACCAAGGCGAUUACGGGUAGCCGGCCUGAGAGGGCGACCGGCCACACUGGGACUGAGACACGGCCCAGACUCCUGCGGGAGGCAGCAGUGGGGAAUAUUGCACAAUGGGCGAAAGCCUGAUGCAGCGACGCCGCGUGGGGGAUGACGGCCUUCGGGUUGUAAACCUCUUUUACCACCAACGCAGGCUCCACGUUCUCGUGGGGUUGACGGUAGGUGGGGAAUAAGGACCGGCUAACUACGUGCCAGCAGCCGCGGUAAUACGUAGGGUCCGAGCGUUGUCCGGAAUUAUUGGGCGUAAAGAGCUCGUAGGCGGCAUGUCGCGUCUGCUGUGAAAGACCGGAGCCUUAACUCCUGGUUCUGCAGUGGAUACGGGCAUGCUAGAGUGUAGGUAGGGGAGGACUGGAAUUCCUGGUGCAGCGGUGAAAUGCGCAGAUAUCAGGAGGAACACCGGUGGCGAAGGCGGAUCUCUGGGUCCUUACCCUGACGCUGAGGAGCGAAAGCAUGGGGAGCGAACAGGAUUAGAUUACCCUGGUAGUCCAUGCCGUAAACGUUGGGGCCCUAGGUGUGGGGACUUUCCACGGUUUCCGCGCCGAAUCUUAACCCAUUAAGCGCCCCGCCUGUGGAGUACGGCCCCAAGGCUAAAACUCAAAGGAAUUGACGGGGGCCCGCACAAGCGGCGGAGCAUGUUGCUUAAUUCGACGCAACGCGAAGAACCUUACCAAGGUUUGACAUCACCCGAGGACCUGUAGAGAUACAGGGUCAUUUAGUUGGUGGGUGA
rnacentral:rRNA from 1 species